rnacentral:rRNA from 1 species
UUGAUUGAUGGUGCUUGCACCUGAUUGAUUUUGGUCGCCAACGAGUGGCGGACGGGUGAGUAACACGUAGGUAACCUGCCCAGAAGCGGGGGACAACAUUUGGAAACAGAUGCUAAUACCGCAUAACAACGUUGUUCGCAUGAACAACGCUUAAAAGAUGGCUUCUCGCUAUCACUUCUGGAUGGACCUGCGGUGCAUUAGCUUGUUGGUGGGGUAACGGCCUACCAAGGCGAUGAUGCAUAGCCGAGUUGAGAGACUGAUCGGCCACAAUGGGACUGAGACACGGCCCAUACUCCUACGGGAGGCAGCAGUAGGGAAUCUUCCACAAUGGGCGCAAGCCUGAUGGAGCAACACCGCGUGAGUGAAGAAGGGUUUCGGCUCGUAAAGCUCUGUUGUUAAAGAAGAACACGUAUGAGAGUAACUGUUCAUACGUUGACGGUAUUUAACCAGAAAGUCACGGCUAACUACGUGCCAGCAGCCGCGGUAAUACGUAGGUGGCAAGCGUUAUCCGGAUUUAUUGGGCGUAAAGAGAGUGCAGGCGGUUUUCUAAGUCUGAUGUGAAAGCCUUCGGCUUAACCGGAGAAGUGCAUCGGAAACUGGAUAACUUGAGUGCAGAAGAGGGUAGUGGAACUCCAUGUGUAGCGGUGGAAUGCGUAGAUAUAUGGAAGAACACCAGUGGCGAAGGCGGCUACCUGGUCUGCAACUGACGCUGAGACUCGAAAGCAUGGGUAGCGAACAGGAUUAGAUACCCUGGUAGUCCAUGCCGUAAACGAUGAGUGCUAGGUGUUGGAGGGUUUCCGCCCUUCAGUGCCGGAGCUAACGCAUUAAGCACUCCGCCUGGGGAGUACGACCGCAAGGUUGAAACUCAAAGGAAUUGACGGGGGCCCGCACAAGCGGUGGAGCAUGUGGUUUAAUUCGAAGCUACGCGAAGAACCUUACCAGGUCUUGACAUCUUGCGCCAACCCUAGAGAUAGGGCGUUUCCUUCGGGAACGCAAUGACAGGUGGUGCAUGGUCGUCGUCAGCUCGUGUCGUGAGAUGUUGGGUUAAGUCCCGCAACGAGCGCAACCCUUGUUACUAGUUGCCAGCAUUAAGUUGGGCACUCUAGUGAGACUGCCGGUGACAAACCGG